rnacentral:lncRNA from 1 species
AUUUAAAACUGCUAGGAAGUCAACAGCCUUGAAGACAAGUAGCAGGCACGUACCCAAAAGGGGCUAAGGGAAGGAUUUUCAAAUAUGGUGCACACAAUUAUCUUAUUUCUGUGAAAUUUAUACAGAAAUAAGUGAUGAUAAACUACUUCAUUCCCUUUAGCUACAUGAGAUGCUGUCUCUCUCUCUCUCUGAGGGAUAAAAGCUGUUUUAUCCCCCUGUAUACAGUGGUAUUAGGGUAUUAGAGAAAUCAGAACAAGUUGUUAAUUAUCUUAUAUGCAUGCCUGAUGCAGAUUGGUAAAAAUUCAUCUUUCUAGCAUUUAGGCCAAAGGCCAAUGGCUACUAAUGACGGUAUCUAGUAUAGAAUGUAUAUUCCUCAGCCGCUCACAGGUCAGAACAGCAGUUAGUAAAACUCAUAACUAUCAAGACAGAUGCUCCAUUUAUGAAAAAAAUUCAGGAAAUUUUUGUUAUUCUUUGUUACAAUAGACCAUUAGUAUAUUUCAAUACAGUUUUCAAUUAUAUGUGGUGAAAAUGCAGAUUGUUUAAAGGAAUUUAAAAUAACUAACAAGGUAUCUUUUGGGGCUCAAAUACCCAUAUAAUUCUGGGUGAUCAUCUCCAUCCUCAUCUUCAUCAAAACACAUUGUACUCCUGGCAGAAGGAUGCUCUGUGACUAUGAUAGACAAAGGCACUGAUUUUUACAAAUUGCACAUUCUAUUAGUGAGAAUAAUUAAGAAAACAAUUUAACAAGUCAUCAGAAUCAUAAGUAAUUAUAAUUACUGUGCUAUAAAAAAAGAAAUAUUCUGUGGAUGGAGGGUUCAAUUUUUUUUAGCAACUGACCCAAAUUGGAGGUCCAAGGCAGUUCCUUCAAAAUGAUGAUAUUGUGUUGACAUCGGCCACAGAAAAAUAAAUGAAAUCAAAAGGGGGUUGGAAAAGUAGAACAACAGAUGGAAAAGGUCAAGAGAAAACUCAGACCGAAUCACAGCCCACUAGAAGAGCCUGGGGAGAAGGUGUCAGGCACUCGUGGGUGUUCUCCAUCCCAUCCUCAGAUGGGCUGAGAUAGUGAAAAACUGAGAGUAGAGUGUUAGGAUCAGAUCACUCUCUGACAACAAGACACAACCUACAGUUAUAGAACAAACUGGAAACUGAUGAUCAGGGUUAAUAUUGUCACCUUGACAGGACCGCAAAUCCCUUCAGAAAAAAAAAAAAGCCUCUGUUCACUAAAUAUUUCUUUGAAGAUGGCCUAGGUCAUUAAGUCACUCAUUAUUCAUUCAAUUCUCAUACCCUACUUCUGAGAGGGAAUGCAGAACUCUUGCUCUUAGUAAAUUAAGAGCUAGGAAAUUACUUUAUUAUUUACUAUGACAUUUAGGUAAAAGAACAGCAUGCUUUUAAUGUUCAUGUACCUUACUGAAUUCUCCUGAUUCCACCAAUGGCAGAUCACAGCUAUUAUAAUAGUAAUUGUUGCAUAUCUAGUGACUAUUUCUUGUUAUUAUUCCCUACACAGUAAGAAUAGCCAAUAUUUACAUGGCAUUUAGACCAUAAGACAUAUUUCAAGUAAUUCAAAGCUAGUUUAAAAAGUAUAGAAAGAUGUAAAGGCUAUAUACAAAUAUUGCUCUUGAGAAUCAUUGACUUUGUGGAUCUGCAAGGGCCAACUUCCCCCAGAGAAUCCAACAAACCACCAUAUAUGCUAUAUGUGCCAUAGAUUCUUAGCAUUCAAGUGAUUGUUUAAAUCUGGCCUCCCUUUUACUCCCAAAACUCCUAAGAAUGGUCAUUUUUCAAGAUUUGUCUUUCUUGUAAUAAGAUUUAUCUUCCAGUGUCUUUCAUGACUCAGAAUUUCUGAGAUUUCUUUCGACAAAACCACAACUCUAUGAUGUAGCAGGAGGGCUAUGAUGCAUUUACUACCUUGAUACUUUGUAGGACUAUAUGGAUUUCUAAAAACUAUAUAAAACUCAAAUAAAAUAGUUACUUGGUGUUCUGAUUAGCUUCAAUGACCAACUUGACAUGAAAUAGGUUCACUUGAUAAGAGUUUGAAUUGAUGAAUUCUCUAGAUCAAUCGGUGGUAUGUCUGUAGGGAACUAUCUUAAUUUUUUAUUGUUUAAGAGAGUUCAGAACACUCUGGCUGGCAAGAUCUUUAGGGAGGUCCUGACUUAUAUAAGAAAGCUGGUUAAGUAUAAGCUACCCCAUACAUGAAGCAGCCUGCUGUACUUCCUUGUCUUUUUGUGAUAGGUAAUGCUAUGUAGAAUAGUAAGCACACCUGGCUUCAAGAUUCUUCCUUGAUUUUUCCCUCAUCACUGGACUACAAUUUAGGAUUGUACGCCAAAACAAACCUUCUUCUGAUUGCUUUUGCCCAAAGUAGUUAAAGCCACACACACACACACACACACACACACACACACACACAC